rnacentral:rRNA from 1 species
AGUGAACGCUGGCGGUAGGCCUAACACAUGCAAGUCGAACGGCAGCACAGUAAGAGCUUGCUCUUACGGGUGGCGAGUGGCGGACGGGUGAGGAAUACAUCGGAAUCUACUUUUUCGUGGGGGAUAACGUAGGGAAACUUACGCUAAUACCGCAUACGACCUACGGGUGAAAGCAGGGGAUCUUCGGACCUUGCGCGAUUGAAUGAGCCGAUGUCGGAUUAGCUAGUUGGCGGGGUAAAGGCCCACCAAGGCGACGAUCCGUAGCUGGUCUGAGAGGAUGAUCAGCCACACUGGAACUGAGACACGGUCCAGACUCCUACGGGAGGCAGCAGUGGGGAAUAUUGGACAAUGGGCGCAAGCCUGUUCCAGCCAUACCGCGUGGGUGAAGAAGGCCUUCGGGUUGUAAAGCCCUUUUGUUGGGAAAGAAAAGCAGCAGGUUAAUACCCCGCUGUUCUGGCGGUACCCAAAGAAUAAGCACCGGCUAACUUCGUG